GGCAAGAUGGCCGAGCGGUCUAAGGCGCCAGCUUCAGGUUCUUCUCAUCCGAGUGCAUCUGCUGGUCUAGUAAUAGGCGUGGGUUCGAAUCCCACUCUUGUCA